AUACUUGCCUGGCAGGGGAGCUACCAUGAUCCCGGAAGUGGUUUUCCCAAAGCGAAGCUUAUCCAUUACACUCUGGAUGUGCAGGCCCCUGCGAUUUCCCCAAAUGUGGGAAACUUGACUGCGUAAUUUGUGGUAGUAGGGCCUGCGCUGGUGCUCUCCCUGC